UAACUUCUGGAUGAAAUUUUUUUCUC
rnacentral:piRNA from 1 species